ACUGGUGUAAGUCCAGUCUGAGUAAUCGUUAGGGAGCUCAGUAGCUAACCACUAAGUAUAGAAGAAAUUCUGUGCUUAAAGCGUGGGGAUAAAGUAGCCCGAAAGGGAGCGAGCAAGAGUGCGGGUUGUAACGUAA
rnacentral:ncRNA from 1 species